GGAGCUCAGCCACCGGAGCGGCAAGCGGACCCCGAAGCGAGCCCCGGGCGCUCCGCCAGCGUCUCCGUGCUCAGUGGAAGGGCGAAAGGGGCCGAAGUGAAGCCGGAGGAGGGAGGGGGGGGUGUAUGAGCAGAGAAGUUCUGCCCCGCAGGAGCGCAGCCGGCAAGCAGCGGGUAGCGGAGGGCAGAGGUAUGUCUCUGCGGUGAAGCCAGCUGUGAGUGAACAAAAGGGCAACAAAGAAAUGCAAAGCACCAACGUGCAGAGCGACGUGAAGAGAAAGUUACACGUCUGUGUGCAAGAGAAUGUGUGCUUGAUGGGAAAGCAAGACACAGCUAAAGCAACCUUCUCCUCAAGACUCCCCAGGAACUCCUUAAGGUCACAAGUUUUAGUCUGUGUACUCCAAGGAUCCACUUUUUGCUGUUUAGGCUGGGAAGGCACCGGGCCAGCUGGUACAAUUGGCAUCUUUCUUACCACGUUCACAUACUGUAACACUUGUAUGGAUUUUGCCUAAACUCAUAUGUGGGUUGUCAUGGGUUUCCAUUCCCUGCUGGUUGUUUGCUGUGCUGAGGUGAUUUUUCAUGUCAUCAGUAAGGUCUAGCACUGGGCUGGGUUCACAUGUACAAGUGAAUGCUGAAGUGAUGGAGGAUUCCUGUCUCCCAUGCAAGCAAGAUUAAAAGAGAGGGCAGGAGAGAAAAAGAGUGAAAGGCUAUGUGGCAGACAAAAGAGCAAGAAACCUUAAUUAAUUCAUGGCAGUAAUAACAUUUAUGUCAGCUGCUCCUCUUUUCUGAAGGAUGGAACCUCGCUGAUGGAAAGAUACUCAGGUCAGAUACGCUCUCACUACUCAGCAGCUCUGUUGCUGUAGCUCUUGUAAAACCUGAAGCCACGUGACCUUCAUGCACUGCUGAUUUUUAUGGCUGGUCUCAGCAUAGAGUAUAAGAAUUGCCAUAUAUUAUCAACUCAGCAAUCUAUUAAGAUCAGUAUUCUCACUAAUGGUAGUUGAAGAGGGCAGUGCCAUAAUUUGAUGUGUGUACUUUUUUCUCUGCUUUAAAUCUCAGAUGAAACUCUUGAUAGACUCAGGUUUUUGUUUGUUUGUUUUUUGCUGGACAAAACUGCUUAAGGUAUCUCUGAAAACUGUUGAAAAUCAUGCCAAAUCUGGACAGCCUCACUGUCACAUCACUGACCAAACCCUGAAUCUUUACAUUCCUGAAUGAUGGCACAACAUGCCUUCCCUGAAGGUGCUCGCAAUGCAAAAGAAGGUAAGAAUAGGCUUAUUUUCCUUAUGGAACAGAAGCAGAGAGAAAUGAUUUUCACAGUUGGUCCCUCCUUAACUGUGCACUGAAGCUGUAGCUACAAACUCAGCCUUUCUCUUUGGUGGCAGCUAUCUUACUCAGUGUGUUUUUCUCAGUCUAAUCCAAUACACAGUGCUCCGUGUGGAGGCUGUCUGCUCACUGUAACUGCUCCGGAGAUGGGUUUUGUUCUGUUUGUAAGUAACAAUGAAACAAACCCUUCUGUGAGCUGUGGAUUAAUAGCUGGCAUGGAUUUGAGCCAAUGUUCUUGAAUACAUUCAUGAAAUUUCACUUUAUCCUUAGUAUCUUAUCUGCAAGAAUAUUUCAAAUUUACAAUUCUUUCCUUUAUCUUUGCUGUGUUUCCCUUGCUUGUAAAUACACAUAAUACAUCCUGGUUUUGUUUGCGUGUCGAUUUUCUUUCUCAGGAGAACAGAUAAAUAAUUAAUCAUUGACUAAGGGAGAGACUGGUGUGGGAAUGAUGCCAGGUCUAACCUUGAGUCUUUUCUAUUUCUUUGUGAUGUUUUGGGGAAAGAGAAAUGAAACAAAGAAAUAUGGCCACAUAAAGCGUGUCAUAAAUCCUUCCUCGAAUGAAAAGCGUUUGGGAAAACUCCUUCCUUUCCAAGAACAUCUUUGGUUUGUCUGAUAUAGUAUUGUUGUCAGGUACACUGGAGUCGUUUUGAGAGGAGAAUGUGACAAACCAGUGUUGAUUGUAUAAUAAUUAAAUGUAGCUGUCUACAGCUGCCAGUCACAAUCAAGUCUGAAAAUCUCAGCAGCAGAAGCACAAAUUCCUGCCACCUAAGCUGAAGGAAGAGCUCCCUUACCUAGAAGUGAGUAACAGCCUAUUGCAUCCUCUGCAGCCAGCCAUAAAAGGGAAACAUUCGGUGUGCUGCAAUUAUACCAUGCAUCAUAACCUCUGUGGUUAUGUGCAGAGCAAAUGUAGAUUGAUCAUUAUUAACACCCUUCUUUUUUUUCUUUUUAAGAAUCUACCUAAGUGCCUCACAUAACAGAAAAUAAACUCAUCAGAAGAUGAUGGCAUGCAAAUGUUGGAAGUCUAGGUUUCCUUUCUGUCCUUAGCUGGGUGCCUCUCUGCCACUUCAUUCUCUCCUUGAAGAUUCUUGGUUAGAACUACUUGGAAAAUUGGCAGUUAAAGAGACUCUGGGAGGUAGAAUAGCCUGAAAUAGCAGUGAAUAAGGAAAGUAUUUUGAUUCCCAAAUGUAGCUGUGCUGCUUCCUGGGAGCUGUAGUGCAGAUGUAGCAAAGCAGCAUUCUGCAUUAUGGGUUGGGUUCCCUGUCGUGAGUAAAUAGAUCAACGUGCACUUCUCCUUCCCUUAGUUUGUACAGGGAGUUGGUGUGUCAGGGCAGUCACUCGGCCACAAUGGACCCAGAGGAAGAAGAGUGUAAGGCAAUGGCAGCAUGGUUUGGAAGACCUCAGCUCUGUUACAAAACUGCAAUAGCUAAGGUUAUGAUUUCUGUUUCAGCUUCAAUUUUCUGCAGAAAACAAAUACCAUCAAGCAGAAACAUUUUAAUUAGAAUAGUUCUGUUAAAAGCUCAGUUCUCCAUCGCACAGACUGCAUCCCUACUAUUUUUCAUUGGGUUUUUUUUUUUUUUGUCAGAUUUGCUUUUGACAAAUGGAGCAGGCGCUGAUACUGCCUGCUUCUCUUUCUCAGUCCCCUGUGGAUCAGAUUAAAUGACAAGGGCUGCUCCCUCUAAUUCUCAUAUGUGAGUUGCAGUGCUGAGAUGCAUUUAUGACCACGAUCAUGCAUUCUAGCAGAGAUUGCUUCCCUUAAAGCUUAAUGGAAAAGACCUUCUUAGAGAGAAAGGAAACAAUUUUUUUUUUCUCAGAAAAAGUCCAGAGGAGCAAACAAUCUUCUCCAGAUUCUGGAACAGUAGGUUAAGUAUCAUUUAGAGAGCAAAGAGAAAAACCAUGCCUGACUGCUCUCCUGACAUACAAAUCCGUGCUUUAAAUAAGCACUCCGAAGGGAGAAGGGUUCUGUGGGGGCUGUUGCUUCUGGAGAAUUCAGGGGAACCCUGUAUAUUGUGUUGGCUGCCCAGGAAGCUGGGAUACUGCUGAAAAUGAAGCGAUGAUAAUGAAUCAUAUCUUCUGGAAACAGCAAUAGGAUAGGAGAAAGGAAAGUGAUCCAGUAAUUAGUAUGCUGGCCUGUGGUUUUACAGACUUCAGUAUCCUGAUAUGCCACAGGCUUCCUGCAUCAGUCUCUGAAAGUGAGAUCCUCAGGGGGAUCCAAAAUUUGGAUGUCUUUUUUGUAAUGUUAGGUUAAUAUAAUGCUUCUAGACUGUAAGCUCCCUCCAUUGGUGUUAUAUUAAAUUUGAUGAGAUAAAUGAAUUAAAAGUGUGUCCACAACCAGUACUAAAAGGUUAAAUAGGGUUCGGGAUUUUGAGUGCAUUGAGUUCCAUCUAUUUAAAGUCAUAGCAACAGGGUCUGUGAUCUUGGCCAACUGAAAGAAAUACUUACAAAAGAAAAGUUAAAAAGAUAGAAAAGGAACAGCUGGGAAAGAAAAAGAUCCAGAAGAGCAACAAGGGGAGCUCAGUGCUUGCCCAGGUUAUAGCUAAAGCUGGCAAAGGUAACGAGUAAUGAGUUAACUGGGUUUUCUCCGUUCCGGUCUGCUCUUUCGUGCUCAGGAGAGUGAAAACGCUGGUAGGGCAUUGGUGUAUUUUAGCACAGGAGAGAUGCUGUAGGAAGCAGCCAGAAAAAAAAAGGCCUCACUCCCCUUAGCAUAUUGCCUUUCAUGACUGUCUUGAUUCCUCUUCAGUCUUUUUGUUUAAUGGCCCUUCUGAAGUGUGGAAUAGCUGAUCCCUCUAUUAUUUUAACAGUAAACAGAUGGGAGGUUAAUCUAGCACAUUCUUUUCUAGUUUUGUUUCCUUCUUUCUUAUCACAAAUGGUUUUAGUAGUACAAUUAGGCUUUUUGUUUGAAUUAAUCCAGGCCCUUUUGCUGCCUUUUAUAAACAAAUCACUGUUACCUUGGGCAACAGAGUGUACAUGCCAUAAGGAAUAGCAACAAUAAUCUUUUUCAUCUGCGCUUGCAUAGAGCUACCAUAAUAGAGCUACGCUCUGGAUGAUGUCUCUGCAGAGCCAUCACAAUGUAAAUAAUUAAUAAUAACAGUUGUUAACACUUGGAUGGGACUCUGUUAUUUGUAAACAAAGAACUUUUAUUUCCUCCGCGCUGCUUACUACACAAAGCAUAAAAUAACUCCAAAGGAAGGAAGCUGUUUUCCUCACAUGCUUGGAAAAGCUCAAGUACUCGGCAACUCGUCCAAAGGGAAAGGUCAAAUGGGUUUUUAGAUCAUCUCAGUUUGAACACAUUGUGCUAUUAGUAAUGGGGAUGAACGAAUCUGAUAUUUAUGUUCACAAAUACAUCUGUCAAAAUUCCAUUACAGAACAAAUAGAUACUGUAGUAAAAUUCUCCAGUAAAUUCAUGUGUAGCUAUUAUGAUAAGAGAAAGGACCAUAAAAACAAGAACAUUUUAAAGGACAUUUUAUUACAGUAUGUAAGUACAAUUAAAAUAACAG
ensembl:lncRNA